rnacentral:lncRNA from 13 species
GGCAAGAUGAGGGUAAUGAAUAUAUGUUGGAAGUUAAAUUAGAUAUAUUGUAUCAGUUUCAAUUACGAAGGGAUCUAAAAUCAGGGCUACCCCAAGAAUGCCACCGUGGCUUAAACAUGAGAAAUUUAUUUUCUUUCAGUUCUGGAGGCUGGAAGUCCAAGUGGUGCCAAUAGCAUUCGUUUCCAUUUUAACUCAACGAUUGGUUUUCCUAUCAAAAGAGAGACAUGAAAGGCCAAGCUCACCUUUUUCUCUCAAGGUAAGCUUUCUCUCAGGUCCAGUUCCCUCUGUUUGAUAGCAGCUCCCUGAAGACUUCAUUUUGGAUCUAGUUUGGUUAACACUAACUUCAUAAAAACCUUGCAUUCCUUCUGGGACCAUGAAGACUUUUACCCUUUUAGUCUUUUCUGGCAAGCCCUUUCUGGUACGAAGACACUUUAUCUUUCUGGUCUUGGUGAGUAUUCUUCUGACUUCAAUUUUAUUCUGAGUUGUUUAUUUUUGUACUUUUGACUGUUGAUAGGCCUUUCUUCUCUGUGUUUUAACAUUUAUCAAGGUAAAUAAAGAUGGAAUCCCAAAUUUCA